UUUGGUUGCAACUCUCUAGCCAUCACAGGUUGAGAAAAAACUAUAAACUGCAACUUUUUUUAAUCGAAAGUGCAAUGGCUCUUUGUACUGAACACUUUUUCCAAUAGCUCUUUGUCACUACCCAAUUCUUCCCCGAGAUUGAAUCCUUCCUCUUUCGAUUACCCAACUCUUUUGAGGUGUUUUUAUGUAUCAACCAUGUUCUAGUUAGAGCCUUCAUUAGUUAAAAGCAGUCCACUUGGCUGUUGCAUCUGUACCAUCAGCACAGCCUGUUGUAGUAGUGUAGAAAUGGUGCAAGCCGUCCAC
rnacentral:lncRNA from 1 species